rnacentral:rRNA from 1 species
UGGGGAAUAUUGCACAAUGGAGGGAACUCUGAUGCAGCGACGCCGCGUGAACGAAGAAGGCUUUCGAGUCGUAAAGUUCUUUUAUAUGGGAAGAUAAUGACGGUACCAUAAGAAAAAGCCCCGGCUAACUACGUGCCAGCAGCCGCGGUAAUACGUAGGGGGCUAGCGUUGGCCGGAAUCACUGGGCGUAAAGGGUUCGCAGGCGGAAAUGCAAGUCAGGGGUAAAAGGCAGUAGCUUAACUACUGUAAGCAUUUGAAACUGCAUAUCUUGAGAAGAGUAAAGGUAAGUGGAAUUUUUAGUGUAGCGGUGAAAUGCGUAGAUAUUAAAAAGAAUACCGGUGGCGAAGGCGGCUUACUGGGCUCAUUCUGACGCUGAGGAACGAAAGCGUGGGUAGCAAACAGG